ACUCCUACGGGAGACAGCAGUGGGGAAUUUUGGACAAUGGGCGAAAGCCUGAUCCAGCAAUGCCGCGUGAGUGAAGAAGGCCUUCGGGUUGUAAAGCUCUUUUGUCAGGGAAGAAACGGUGAAAGCUAAUAUCUUUUGCUAAUGACGGUACCUGAAGAAUAAGCACCGGCUAACUACGUGCCAGCAGCCGCGGUAAUACGUAGGGUGCAAGCGUUAAUCGGAAUUACUGGGCGUAAAGCGUGCGCAGGCGGUUUUGUAAGUCUGAUGUGAAAUCCCCGGGCUCAACCUGGGAAUUGCAUUGGAGACUGCAAGGCUAGAAUCUGGCAGAGGGGGGUAGAAUUCCACGUGUAGCAGUGAAAUGCGUAGAUAUGUGGAGGAACACCGAUGGCGAAGGCAGCCCCCUGGGUCAAGAUUGACGCUCAUGCACGAAAGCGUGGGGAGCAAACAGGAUUAGAUACCCCUGUAGUCCCAUG
rnacentral:rRNA from 1 species